rnacentral:rRNA from 1 species
CUCAUCAGGGCAAGAAGUAUUUUAGGAUUGACAGAUUGAGAGUUCUUUCUUGAUUGGUCUAGUGGUGGUGCAUGGCCGUUCUUAUUUGGUGGAGUGAUUUGUCUGGUUAAUUCCGUUAACGAACGAGACCUUAACCUGCUAACUAGUACUUUGAUUUUCAAUCGGAGUUACUUCUUAGAGGGACUAUGUGAUGUAAUCACAUGGAAGUUUGAGGCAAUAACAGGUCUGUGAUGCCCUUAGAUGUCCUGAGCUGCACGCGCGCUACAAUGACACAUUCAACGAGUAUUUCCUGACCCGAAAGGGCUCGGGUAAUCUUUUAGUGUGUGUCGUGAUAGGGAUAGAUCUUUGUAAUUAUGGAUCUUGAACGAGGAAUUCCUAGUAAGCGCAUGUCAUCAGCAUGUGCUGAUUACGUCCCUGC